GGUUAAGCGACUAAGCGUACACGGUGGAUGCCCUGGCAGUCAGAGGCGAUGAAGGGCGUGCUAAUCUGCGAUAAGCGCCGGUAAGGUGAUAUGAACCGUUAUAACCGGCGAUACCCGAAUGGGGAAACCCAGUGUGACUCGUCACACUAUCAUUAACUGAAUCCAUAGGUUAAUGAGGCGAACCGGGGGAACUGAAACAUCUAAGUACCCCGAGGAAAAGAAAUCAACCGAGAUUCCCCCAGUAGCGGCGAGCGAACGGGGAGGAGCCCAGAGCCUGAAUCAGCAUGUGUGUUAGUGGAAGCGUCUGGAAAGGCGCGCGAUACAGGGUGACAGCCCCGUACACAAAAGCGCAUGUGCUGUGAGCUCGAUGAGUAGGGCGGGACACGUGGUAUCCUGUCUGAAUAUGGGGGGACCAUCCUCCAAGGCUAAAUACUCCUGACUGACCGAUAGUGAACCAGUACCGUGAGGGAAAGGCGAAAAGAACCCCGGCGAGGGGAGUGAAAAAGAACCUGAAACCGUGUACGUACAAGCAGUGGGAGCACAGGUUUACCUGUGUGACUGCGUACCUUUUGUAUAAUGGGUCAGCGACUUAUAUUCUGUAGCAAGGUUAACCGUAUAGGGGAGCCGGAGGGAAACCGAGUCUUAACCGGGCGUUAAGUUGCAGGGUAUAGACCCGAAACCCGGUGAUCUAGCCAUGGGCAGGUUGAAGGUUGGGUAACACUAACUGGAGGACCGAACCGACUAAUGUUGAAAAAUUAGCGGAUGACCUGUGGCUGGGGGUGAAAGGCCAAUCAAACCGGGAGAUAGCUGGUUCUCCCCGAAAGCUAUUUAGGUAGCGCCUCGUGAAUUCAUCUCCGGGGGUAGAGCACUGUUUCGGCUAGGGGGCCAUCCCGGCUUACCAACCCGAUGCAAACUGCGAAUACCGGAGAAUGUUAUCACGGGAGACACACGGCGGGUGCUAACGUCCGUCGUGAAGAGGGAAACAACCCAGACCGCCAGCUAAGGUCCCAAAGUCAUGGUUAAGUGGGAAACGAUGUGGGAAGGCCCAGACAGCCAGGAUGUUGGCUUAGAAGCAGCCAUCAUUUAAAGAAAGCGUAAUAGCUCACUGGUCGAGUCGGCCUGCGCGGAAGAUGUAACGGGGCUAAACCAUGCACCGAAGCUGCGGCAGCGA
rnacentral:rRNA from 2 species